ACAGACCUGCUGCAACGACUGCUGCAUCUUCUCUUGUCAUUAACGAAACCUUAGCACACCGCACCCACCCACGGACUCCAGAUGAUUCACACCUUCUUUGUGCUUGAGUAUGCCAGCGUGGGAUCAUUUUACCAAAUGAUAUCCAAGAAAGGGAAACCUGUGGAGAGAAAUGGUGUGAGUUCAAGCAAACACUCCCAGAAAAGGAAAGGGGCAGACAAAAAAGGAGGCAUAGAAGAGUGCUUGAGGUUACCAUAAUAGGGGGACCCACCCAAGCUCCAAGAAACUUUAGUAAUAAACAUCUAAUUGACUCAAAUGAGCAGUGGAGAGAUGAUUCUUCUAAACAAAGUCUCCAGCUUAAGGACAAAUGUAUACUACCUGUGGUG